rnacentral:ncRNA from 1 species
UUUUUAUACAGAGGCGUGGAGAGACAGGCUCGACGAAACGCCGGCAACCCCCAGUGAUGAGCUGGAACGGUGCCAAGUCCUGACCAUAUAAAAA